CGAGGAUCUUUGUCGAUAACCGGCACAUGCUGCCGAGCUCGCGAUUUUGCUCUUCACUAAUUUUAUUUGGUUUGUGGUGGAUUAAAUUUGUAGACCCUUAGAAUGGAUCGGUAAGGACUUAAGUUAUUUAUUUGGAAAAUUGUAUGCUACGUUUUGGUUAAGUUUAUUUACGUUAUUUGUCUCUGUAAAACGUGCUACGACGUCAAAACAAACACCUGUGACCGAAACGAACAACGAAAACGAUACGAAGAAGCGAUUUGAGACAAAGCGACCCGCGUCUGUAUGAUAUUCUUGAAACCGUUGAAAUACAUGUAGUACGUUCAUCGCGUUAGUCAAGAGGACGUGGGGCCGCUACAGUUUCAAGAAUAUCUGUCCCCGACUGCAGCAUAUCAGGAUAAAUCCUCUCUACCGUCACGCGGCCGGUUUGGACAGACGUCUACCCACAGUAAGUGACGAGCUGCUGCAGCUGCAGUUCAAACUUCGACAUUGUGACCUCAGAAAAUCCGGACACAUGAACUAAGAUCGUCUGAGAGACUAGCAGUAAACGUGAUUAUGCCCGUGCUAUGUUGUUACUUGUACUUGGAUUAAGUGAGCAAAGCAAGACAUCUAUGUUCUAAUGUUUUUCAUCGCGAAACGUCUGUUUUGAGCUUAUAUAUUCAGGUAAAUUUAGCAGGUGAAGCUUGGUGCGUUCACCACGGAGCGACCCCACUCUGUCUCGUGUAACUGAACUGUGACUAAGCAUCAUGGACAAUUUGAGAGUUUCGGAAUUGCGUGAGCAGUUGCGUCAGAGAGGUUUGAGUCAAAGGGGUACCAAAAAGACGCUUCUGCACCGGUUACGGACAGCUAUGGCCGAGGCAGACACCGACGACGAUUCCACUAAGCCGAGAUCGACAAAUUCACUACAGUAUUCCACGAACUCUAUAAGAAAAGCGGACCGAUCUACCGAAUCUUUAUCUAGCUCUGUUCACUCUGCGCAAUCUGGCUCUUGCAUAUCGGAAUCACUGUUUAUCAAGCAAGCCAACGAGGCUGCGAAAAGAGCGGGUUUAGAAGCCAGAAUGAUGCUUCUUGCUGAGAAGCAGAGAUUAACAGAGGAAACAAGGUUAGCUAGACAGCGGGAGCUCGAACUAGAAUUACAACAAGAGAAACUCGACCUGCAGAUGCAAAUAUUGGAUUCUGCAGCGCGAGAGAAAGAAUUUGAAAAAUUCCAGGUUCACCUCGAAAAUAGUACAGCUGUCAAUCCAUCAAUUACUAAGCAGGAGGCGCAAAGGGAAAUUCGUCCUACACUUUUCAGAGAGAAUAAAGCUACGGCAGCUAGUAUGAGUGAAGAUUGUGUAGGUGUCGAGGGCAUGGUCUCGAGGGGGCAGAACACUGAUGUUGAGGGCAGGUAUUGUCUGACUGCUACUAAAACUGAAUCACCAGCACACAAGCAGACAAGUUUUUGCAGUGAAGCAACAGCCCAGGCAUAUGACCUAACCACUGUACCCCCUGACCUAUUCACGCAAAUGUUGGGAUUAACUGAAAGAAGCACCAUUCCGCGAGUGGAAAUAGAAAAGUUUGAUGGGGAAGUGGCAUAUUAUCGAUCUUUUAUACGCGCUUUCGAGCACCUCAUCUGCAAUAAAGUUCAAAGCGAUGACGAGAAACUAUACUAUUUGGAGCAAUAUACAACAGGCCAGCCUCGAGAGGUUGUUAGAGGCUGUCUCCAUAUGCCUGAAGACAAGGGAUACAAAGAAGCCAGACGUUUGCUCGAGGCAAGAUAUGGAAAUCAGUAUAAAAUUGCAGCACGAUCAGUCGAUAGAAUCUUGAACUGGCCAGCAAUCAAGGUGGACGAAAUAGACGCCAUGGAUGACUUUUCUAUCGCUCUUCGCACCUGCUACAAUUCCAUGGCGGGCAUGGUUACAGAAACCUCGGAAUUGGAUCACCCUAAAACAAUACGUAAAAUUUUGGAAAAAUUUCCGCCGACCAUUCAGGACCGUUGGCGUCGGCUUGCUGAAGAUGUUCGUGAACACAAGAACAGAAUAGUCACCUUUAAAGAUUUAGUAGAUUUUGUGGAAAGAGAAGCCAGGAUUGCGACAAACCCUUUGUUCGGUCGCCACCUGUUCCCCGCCACCAGAGGCAAGCCGGAAGGGCAAAGAAGUGGACCAGCGAACCGUUACAGCCUUGCUGCUCAUAUUGGUCCAGCUAACCACGGCGGUCAGCCAGUGCCUUGCCUGUGGUGUAAAGCGAUGCAUCCUCUCGAUGAAUGCGCCCAUUUCGUCCAAAAUCCAAUGGAGGUGAAAAGGGAGUUUAUCCGAAACAAUUCGCUUUGCUUCGGAUGCCUGGUCCAAGGUCACGUAGCAAAAAGCUGUACAAAUCGUAGUGUAUGUCGCGAAUGUAAAGGGAAGCAUGCUACCGCCUUACAUUCGCCCCCAGGCGAGGUACAGAGCACACGAAGAACGACGACGUAUGAAGCCAUAAAAAACGCUAGAGUUGAUAUUAACAAUGAGGCGUCUUUAGCAUCGUGUGGAAUGGCAAUUGUACCGGUUAAAGUAAGGACCAGGACUGGACACUGUGUGGAAACUUAUGCAUUCCUAGACAAUGGCAGCUCGGCUUCAUUCUGUACUGAAUCACUCUGCAAAAGACUACACGUUUCCGACACAAAGCCCAUCACAUUGAAGCUCACAACUGUUCAUUCACAUAAGAAAACAUUGCUGAGCAAGAGGAUCGACGGACUUAUGUUAAGUGACCUGGAUGAGAACGAGCAUAUUCCACUUCCGUCAAUCUUCACCCUUAGUUACAUACCUGUAUCGGAGGACGAUAUUCCAACAUAUCAUGACAUCAGUAAGUUUCCGUACCUCAGUGAUAUUGAUAUGCCCCGCAUCAAUGCUGGAAUAGAGUUAAUGAUUGGGAACAACGUCCCGCAGGCUAUGGAACCGUGGGAGGUGCGUCAUAGUCAAAUGAACGGUCCUUACGCCAUACGAACCAAGCUGGGGUGGGUCAUCAACGGACCUGUCAGAGACCUCAGAGCGAACGUAAUACACGCGAAUGGAACACGCGCCGCGGCGUUCCAUCACGGGCUCGAUGAGACCUUACAAAAUAUGUAUGAACAAGAAUUUCCAGAGAAAAAUUUUUCCGUCGCAAAGGGGAUGUCACAUGAAGAUCGAAGAUGGAUGGCAAUGGUUCAAGAAAGUUGUAGAGUGAGUGCUGAUGGUCAUUACGAGAUAGCCUUGCCAUUCUGCCAGGCGAAUCCCGAGCUCCCAAAUAAUCUGGAGUUGGCAAUAAGAAGACUUGAGGGACUCAAAAGGAAACUUAUGAAAGAUAACCGAUUAAGAGAGCACUACACGGCGACUAUGACAGAUAUGCUCUCCAAGGGUUACAUAGAAAGGGCACCCGAGCUCGAUUCAAUGACUAAAGGUGGGAAGAAAUGGUAUCUCCCACACCAUGGGGUGUAUCAUCCGCAAAAACCACAUAAAGUUCGUAUCGUUUUCGACGCGGCAGCUAGCUACAAAGGCACGUCCUUGAACGACGCAUUGCUACAGGGACCCGACUUAACCAAUUCCCUUAUCGACGUACUAUUACGGUUUCGAUGGGCUCCUGUAUGCUUUACGGCGGACAUAGAAGCCAUGUUCCAUCAAGUACGAGUACCCGAUCGCGACAGAGACUUUUUACGGUUUCUCUGGUGGACUGGUGGCGACUUGACUGAUCAGCCAGCUGAAUACAGAUUUACUGUACAUCCUUUCGGAGCCACAUCAUCACCGGCGUGCGCCAAUUACGCCUUGCGAAGGGCCGCCACUGACCACGGAUCACACUUCAGCGCAGAUACUGUGGAGACCAUUCUAUACAACUUUUACGUUGACGACUGCCUUAAGUCGGUUGAAACAGGUGACGAUGGAAUCAGGAUCGGUCAAGAGCUGAUAGAAUUAUGCUCACGAGGAGGCUUCAACUUAACAAAGUUUGUCAGUAAUUGCAGCGCGCUCUCUCCUCAUUUGGACAAUGACAAGAGCAAUUGUUGCAUUGAAUUUGAUCAGGAAAGGGGUCUUGCACGGAAGGCUCUUGGAGUAAAAUGGUCUCUAGACACUGACAGUUUUAGUUUUUCGGCGGCCAUAAAAGAAAGGCCCAUGUCCAAACGCGGUAUUCUCGCAAUCGUAGGCUCAGUGUAUGAUCCGUUUGGUUUGAUUUCCCCUUACGUUUUAAUCGCAAGACAUCUAUUGCGAGACCUGUGCAGAAUCAAAGUCGGCUGGGAUGAAUGCAUUCCAAAGCCAUAUCAGAAGCAGUGGGAACAAUGGCUAAACGAUCUUCUGGUCUUGAACAACAUUUCCGUUCCUAGGUGUCUGAGGCCACGGUCUUUCAGGAACGCAUUUUGCCAGCUCCAUCAUUUUUCUGACGGUAGUGAACGCGCCUACGGAACUGUCUCUUAUUUCAGAGUUGUCAACGAAGCAGGUGAUAUUCACUGUGGUUUUGUAUUCGGGCGGUCACGAUUGGCACCGUUGAAAGGGACGACUAUCCCAAGGAUAGAGCUAGCCGCAGCAACUUUGGCUGUGAAAGUGAACGCUAUGAUUCAAAGCGCGUUCCAAACCAAAAUUGAGUCAUGGUUUUGGACCGAUAGUACCACAGUUUUGCGUUAUAUUCGAAACGAGAAGACACGUUUUCACACGUUUGUUGCAAACCGACUAGCAGUCAUAAGGGAAGGCUCUUCGCCGAACCAGUGGAAGUAUGUUCAAAGUUCCCUGAAUCCUGCAGACAUUGCUUCACGUGGAGCAAGUGGGAAAGACAUCAGUAAGAACCAGGAGUGGUUCUCCGGCCCCGAAUUUCUGUGGAAAGAAAGCCACGAAUGGCCUUUGACGCCCAAUAAUUUGGGGGACAUAACAGAAGACAUUGAAGUGAAAAGAGAGCGCAAAAAGGAACAGCUUCCGAAUACUGAUCUGAGAGCGAACUGCACAAACGUCAUUACCGUGCUGGACGUACAUCCCGUAGAAACACUUCUUAGUUAUUACAGCAGCAGAUGGAAAGUGGUUAGAGCAAUAGCUUGGCUAUUGAGAGUUCGUCACAGACUAUUAUGUAAGGAAGCGCCUAGAGCUACGAGAAGAAAUUUGAGCAUCGAGGAGAUGGAAGCUGGGGAGCGAGAGAUAGUGAUUCAUGAACAAAUGGCAAGCUAUGCAUCGGAAAGGAAACAUUUGGCAGCUGGCAGACCUGUUCAACUAUCUAGUUCCUUGCAGAAACUUAAUCCAAUAUUACAAGAUGGCUUCGUCGUGGUUGGUGGGCGACUCGAACGUGCCUUGCUACCAGAAACGGCGAAACAUCCUAUCAUCCUCCCCGCAAGUUCUCGAUAUGCCACCAUGGUCAUUCAGGAUGUACAUGAGCAAUUGGGGCAUCAAGGACUGUCCCACGUUCUUACCACAGUGAGACAAAAGUUUUGGAUUAUACAUGGAAAUAAAGCUGUGAGAAAGGUUUUGAGUAACUGUCUUCACUGUCGAAGAAGAUUUAGUCAGCCAGAGAAUCAGAAAAUGGCCGAUUUGCCUAUCGAUAGGGUUCAGGCGUUGCAACCUCCAUUUACAAGUACUGGUGUCGAUUGUUUUGGACCAUUCUUCGUCAAACGUGGAAGAGGACAAGAAAAAAGAUAUGGCAUCAUUUUUACUUGUUUAGCAAUUCGCGCCGUCCAUCUUGAGAUGGCUGACAAUCUCUCGACAGAUUCAUUUAUUUGUGCCUUAAAAAGAUUCAUUUCCCGUAGAGGCAAUGUGCAGGUGAUUCGGUCCGACAACGGCACAAAUUUUGUCGGAACAAAUAACGAAUUGAAAAGGGAAUGGAGAAAACUGCACUCUUCAGACGCAAUCUAUAACACACUAGCAAAACGAGGAAUCGAGUGGAUUUUCAACACUCCAGGUGCCUCACAUCACGGAGGGGUGUGGGAGAGAAUGAUAAGGUCCACGAGAAGAGUCCUCGAAUCCUUGCUCUCAUCGCAGUUGCUUACGGACGAGACGCUAAGAACUUUCUUAUGCGAAGCGGAAAGUAUUAUCAACAGCCGUCCAUUGACUCCUUUAACGAUGGACCCCACGGAUGCUGAACCGCUCACUCCCAACCAUUUACUGUUGCUUGCACCAGGGGGAGAUCUGCAAGCUGGAAUUUGGCAAGAAACUGAUAAUAUCAGCAUAAGAAGAUGGAAACAGGCCAGAUAUAUGACAGAACUUUUCUGGAAGAGGUGGCGAACCGAAUACCUGCCACUGUUGCAGAGCCGUCCGAGAGCAUGGACUCGAAGUAGAGGGAAUCUGAAAGAGGGAGACGUUGUACUCCUAGUUGACACAGCAGUACCAAGAGGGCAGUGGCCCAUAGGAAGAGUGCAGACGGUAAAAACGAGUCUAGACGGUCUGGUAAGAUCGGUUACGAUUCUCUGUCGCGGGACACAGUUGACGAGACCUAUCCAAAAGUUGGUGAAACUACUAUCAGAAGACGAAACAUCGUAGGACUGAUCCGCAGACACAUUGCCCAUGAUGUCUAGUUACAUUGUCAGAAAUUGUCAGAUGCGGAUUGACAAUUUAGAUAUACGGUUGUACACAUGGGCAUGUUGUAUCGCUGCGACGAUACAAAGGGGAGGGUGUUAUCGGCGAGGAUCUUUGUCGAUAACCGGCACAUGCUGCCGAGCUCGCGAUUUUGCUCUUCACUAAUUUUAUUUGGUUUGUGGUGGAUUAAAUUUGUAGACCCUUAGAAUGGAUCGGUAAGGACUUAAGUUAUUUAUUUGGAAAAUUGUAUGCUACGUUUUGGUUAAGUUUAUUUACGUUAUUUGUCUCUGUAAAACGUGCUACGACGUCAAAACAAACACCUGUGACCGAAACGAACAACGAAAACGAUACGAAGAAGCGAUUUGAGACAAAGCGACCCGCGUCUGUAUGAUAUUCUUGAAACCGUUGAAAUACAUGUAGUACGUUCAUCGCGUUAGUCAAGAGGACGUGGGGCCGCUACAAUAUCGAUUGGA
rnacentral:misc_RNA from 1 species